ensembl:lncRNA
AUCUGCACUUUAGCACCACUGCACCAGAGGUUGAAAUAGAGGAUUAGACUGGACCAGAGGUUGAAAUAGAGGAUUAGACUGGAACAGAGGUUGAAAUAGAGGAUUAGACUGGAACAGAGGUUGAAAUAGAGGAUUAGACUGGAACAGAGGUUGAAAUAGAGGAUUAGACUGGAACAGAGGUUGAAAUAGAGGAUUAGACUGGAACAGAGGUUGAAAUAGAGGAUUAGACUGGAACAGGUUGAAAUAGAGGAUUAGACUGGAACAGGGGUUGAAAUAGAGGAUUAGACUGGAACAGAGGUUGAAAUAGAUAGAGGAUUAGACUUGCAGUAGUUGGCUAGACUCGACGAGUAGUUUAGAUGGGUAUGGGUAUAAAACUAUCAGGUUUAGACGGCUUCAGCUACUGUACUUGCUUCUCCACUUGAACUAAGUAGUUUGGUUUCAAAACCCCUACAGAGGACUCACUAACUCUCACACACACUAGUGACUGUUGUUAAACAGAAGCACGCUGGAUCCUACAUAUCCACUACCACAGCGUUUCCCAAAACUAUUGGUCCCGGCCCCAUGUGGGGUCGCCUGAUUUUUAAAAAUGGGGUCGAAAAAAAAUACAAUAAAACCGCGCUUUGUUCAUAGAACCAGGGUUACAUCGGUAGCCUCGGUAACCUCUGGUAGCCUCUAGAUACAGUUGUAAUAAACAGAGCGGUUUCUUUUUUCUUCCUACAAAUGUGGCUCUAUCUUUUAAAAGAAACAACAUAUUAUUUUUUUGAUUUAUUUAACUAGGCAAGUCAGUUAAGAACAAAUUCUUAUUUUCAAUGACGGCCUAGGAACAGUGGGUUAACUGCCUGUUCAGGGGCAGAACGACAGAUUUGUACCUUGUCAGCUCGGGGGUUUGAACUUGCAACCUUCCGGUUACUAGUCCAACGCUCUAACCACUAGGCUACCCUAUGACCCCAUCACUGAAAAAUCAGACUCUCAGGAACACGGAUGUGUCUUCUGUUUCCUUCUACAAUGGCCACAAGCCUCAUUAGAACAGAGUGGACAAGACCAGGAACUAAAUCAGCUAAAACAAUAAGUUUACAUUAGCGAUGAUUUCAUCACUUUUUUUCUACAUGGUGGAGUCGUGAUGUUUUAUUAUAUCAAAAUGGGUCUGCAGACCAAACAGUUGGAACUCAUGCAGUACCAACUACUACAUAUCUACAUGUCCUCACCCCACCACUCUGUCUGCUCCACUCUCGGUACAUUAUGAUGGACAAGAUCUAUAGGUAUUCCUUUCAGUAUUAUAGCCUUGGAAAGGAGGUUGUGUGUUACUAAACCUGGUUACCACUGAGCCAGUCUCUUUUACUGUAGUUGCUCUCAUAAUCCAUCGCAUUUAGACUCAAUAUCAACCAUGCCUUGAAUGUUUUCCCCUACAGCCUGUAUGAUAAUGCUGCCUUGCCAGCUUUACUCCAGAAACUAAAUCACUUCUUUGUAGACAAACUAUUACAUGCCCUGGCUACAGUCUCUACCCUACUCUAACUCUUACCCCCUUCUUUCAUUCCCUACUAACCUACUCUAACCCCCUUCUUUCAUUCCCUACUAACCUACUCUAACCCCCUUCUUUCAUUCCCUACUAACCUACUCUAACCCCCUUCUUUCAUUCCCUACUAACCUACUCUAACCCCCUUCUUUCAUUCCCUACUAACCUACUCUAACCCCCUUCUUUCAUUCCCUAUUAACCUACUCUAACAACUCCUUCACUGUCUCCCCAACCCCUUCUUCACUGUCUCCCCAACCCCUUCUUCACUGUGUCCCAACAUCAGCCAAGUCUGUUUUCAUGGCUCUACUUUUAGAGAAAGCAGCCCUGUUGUUCCUCAGCACCAGAUAGUGACCAGGAGAGGGCGACAUUGGACACUAGGUCACAUGACUGUGGCUUCUCUAAAACCAGACGUUCUGCCAGAUGUUCUAUAGAAUCAAAGAAGAUAUACUAACAUUCUAUUCACUACCACUAAGGCCCUUCUAACCUCUCUGACUGGUCUCCUGCUGAGGGACAGAAAGGAUAGAACUACAUUUCUCCUCAUCGUUGCCUCUCUUCCUUACUUGUGCCAUCAGUGUUCACCCAUACCCUAACUGCUCAUCAACCAUCAACUUUAUUUAACCAUCAACCUUAUUAUUAACCGUGACCUUUAUUUGCCUACCAACCCUGACCCUUUGAAUUUUGUUCCCUGGCCUAUAGAGCCACGCGACUCAGAAAAACAUAUUAUUAUUACUAUCAUUGAUGUAGGAGUCAAGUUCAUGUUUAAACUUGUUUUGUGGUGCAAUUUCAUUAAUAAUCAUAUAUUUAUUAUUGGGACCAUCAUGAGUGUAUUGUAUAAAAAUUAAAAAUUGCCUUUUUGUUACAUUUUUGCAGCGUUGCAUUUUAAUGAAGGAUUUUUAGGAUGAAGUUUUAGGUUGUUCAACAUGUGUAUAGUGAUACCAGAUCUAAAAUGCAUAUCUGCAUCUUGGACGAUACUGGAAUACUGCAGGUUUUACCCGUGUGAAUGUUUUAGCUGUUAUUGAUCAUACAUAUAGGAUGACUUCAUUGUUACUCAUGUUUGGGACAAAGCCUUACAUAUGAUUUUAAAAACACUAUCAUCUCCUGUCUUUGUCUGUGUCCGUCUGUUACACGACUACUGUUUUAAAAAGUAGCAUUAUUAUUGAAUGUUUUGACAAGUUGUCCUUAGAUCUUAUUUCAGAGGCUGGGAUGGAAGGAUUGUUUUGACAAGUUGUCCUUAGAUCUUAUUUCAGAGGCUGGGAUGGAAGGAUUGUUUUGACAAGUUGUCCUUAGAUCUUAUUUCAGAGGCUGGGAUGG